rnacentral:rRNA from 1 species
GAUGAACGCUGGCGGCGUGCCUAAUACAUGCAAGUCGAGCGAACAGACGAGGAGCUUGCUGCUCUGACGUUAGCGGCGGACGGGUGAGUAACACGUGGAUACCCUACCUAUAAGACUGGGAUCACUACGGGAAACCGGAGCUAACACCGGAUAAGAUAUUGAACCGCAUGGUUCAUUGGAGACAGCCGGUUUUGCUGUCACUAAUAGAUGGUUCCGAGCUGCUUUAGCUAGUUGGUACGGUAACGGCUUACCAAGGCUAGGAUGCGUGGCCGACCGGAGAGGAUGAUCGGCCACACUGGAACUUGGACACGGUCCAGACUCCUACGGGAGGCAGCAGUAGGGAAUGUUCCGCAAUGGGCGAAAGCCUGACGGAGCGACGCCGCGUGUGUGAUGAAGGUCUUCGGAUCGUAAAGCUCUGUUAUUGGGGAUGAACAACUGUGUAAGUAACUAUGCACGUCUUGACGGUACCUAAUCAGAAAGCCCCGGCUAACUACGUG